rnacentral:rRNA from 1 species
AUGGCCGCGGUAUUUUGACCGUGCAAAGGUAGCAUAAUCAUUAGUUUUUUAAUUGAAAGCUGGAAUGAAUGGUUGGACAAGAAAAUUUCUGUCUCUGUUUAAUUUUUUAGAAUUUUAUUUUUUAGUCAGAAAGCUUAAAUUUUUUUAAGGGACGAGAAGACCCUAUAGAAUUUUACUUAUAAAGUGGUUUUUAAUUUUUGGAAUUAUUUUUUUGAAAUUUAUUUUAUAUGUUUUGUUGGGGUGAUAGAAAAAUUUAAAUAACUUUUUUUUGUUUAAGUCAUUGAUUAAUGAAUAAUUGAUCCAUUUGUUUUGAUUAUAAGAUUAAAUUACCUUAGGGAUAACAGC